CCCAAAGCUAGGAUUCUAGCACUAAACUAUUCUUUG
rnacentral:tRNA from 1 species